AUGAAGAAAAUCCAUGCUGAUGGGUUUUUGGAAUCACUUGAUUAUGAAUCUGUUGAUGCUUGCGAACCAUGCCUCAUGGGAAAGAUGACUAAGACUCCGUUCUCCGGAACAAUGGAGCGAGCAACAGAUUUGUUGGAAAUCAUACAUACUGAUGUAUGUGGUCCGAUGAAUAUUGAGGCUCGUGGCAGGUAUCAUUAUUUUCCGAUCUUCACAGAUGAUUUGAGCAGAUAUGAGUAUAUCUACUUGAUGAAACACAAGUCUGAAACAUUUGAAAAGUUUAAAGAAUUUCAGAGUGAAGUGGAGAAUCAUCGUAACAAAAUGAAAGUUUCUACGAUAUGA
rnacentral:rRNA from 1 species